rnacentral:rRNA from 1 species
GACAGAGGAUGCAAGCGUUAUCCGGAAUUAUUGGGCGUAAAGCGCGUGUAGGCGGCUUGUUAUGUCGGGUGUGAAAGCCCUCAGCUUAACUGAGGAAGUGCGCCCGAAACUGGCGAGCUUGAGUGCCGGAGAGGAUAGCGGAACACCGAUGGUAGAGGUGAAAUUCGUAGAUAUCGGGUAGAACACCAGUGGCGAAGGCGGCUAUCUGGACGGACACUGACGCUGAGACGCGAAAGCGUGGGGAGCAAACAGGG